GGCUGGAUCAUUAUCGAGCUUACAAAAAAAGUAGUGCCUUUAUGGUACUUCGUGGCAGGAAUAUGUGCGGUGCAUUUGUUUGAUGCAUGACUGCACGCCACAGUGACCCAACGGCUAACGGUUGGUGUCUAUCUGGUGCUGAGCAGCUGUUGAAUUGUCCGUGGCUGUGUUGAGGCAUCAGGGCACGCAUACGUCCUUGAAAGAUAGGGUAGCGGAUGCGUAGACUCAAUGAACUCCAUGCCUGGGAGUUGCCAACCACCCAUUUUUCUAACGAAUUUUCUAAAACAAAGACAUAUAUCAGUCUUACCGGUGGAUCACUCGGUUCGUGGAUCGAUGAAGAACGCAGCAAACUGCGAUAAGUAGCGUGAAUUGCAGACGCUUUGAACGUUAAACUUUCGAACGCACAUUGCGCCGUAGGAGUCCUACCCUACGGCACAUCUGGUUGAGGGUCGUGAUCAAAAACCGCAGGACUGUAGCGGUAUUAGAACUAGCUGGUGAAUCACGAGUUCGGCCUACCAGCCUCUGGUCGAACGUGUUUUGCCAUAAUGCUAUAGAGGACAUCCCUUAGUGGAUGCCUACCACACGGAUGAUCUAUUAGCCGAUGCGAUAGGUCCCGGUCCAAAGGUAUCAUACGACUAUAUAUACUUGCGGACGUCGGGGAUACGGCUAGUACGUUUCAUACAUGCCUGGUUAUGAGAGUUUUCGCUCUCCCGACCUCAACUCA
rnacentral:rRNA from 1 species